GAUGAACGCUGGCGGCGUGCCUAAUACAUGCAAGUCGAGCGAACAGACGAGGAGCUUGCUCCUCUGACGUUAGCGGCGGACGGGUGAGUAACACGUGGAUAACCUACCUAUAAGACUGGGAUAACUUCGGGAAACCGGAGCUAAUACUGGAUAACAUGCUGAACCGCAUGGUUCAACAGUGUAAGACGGUCUUGCUGUCACUUAUAGAUGGAUCCGCGCCGCAUUAGCUAGUUGGUAAGGUAACGGCUUACCAAGGCAACGAUGCGUAGCCGACCUGAGAGGGUGAUCGGCCACACUGGAACUGAGACACGGUCCAGACUCCUACGAGAGGCAGCAGUAGGGAAUCUUCCGCAAUGGGCGGAAGCCUGACGGAGCAACGCCGCGUGAGUGAAGAAGGUCUUCGGAUCGUAGAACUCUGUUAUUAGGGAAGAACAAGUGUGUAAGUAACUAUGCGCGUCUUGACGGUACCUGGACAGAAAGCCACGGCUAACUACGUG
rnacentral:rRNA from 1 species